rnacentral:rRNA from 1 species
GAUGAACGCUGGCGGCGUGCCUAAUACAUGCAAGUCGAGCGAACGGACGAGAAGCUUGCUUCUCUGAUGUUAGCGGCGGACGGGUGAGUAACACGUGGAUAACCUACCUAUAAGACUGGGAUAACUUCGGGAAACCGGAGCUAAUACCGGAUGAUAUUUUGAACCGCAUGGUUCAAAAGUGAAAGACGGUCUUGCUGUCACUUAUAGAUGGAUCCGCGCUGCAUUAGCUAGUUGGUAAGGUAACGGCUUACCAAGGCAACGAUGCAUAGCCGACCUGAGAGGGUGAUCGGCCACACUGGAACUGAGACACGGUCCAGACUCCUACGGGAGGCAGCAGUAGGGAAUCUUCCGCAAUGGGCGAAAGCCUGACGGAGCAACGCCGCGUGAGUGGUGAAGGUCUUCGGAUCGUAAAACUCUGUUAUUAGGGAAGAACAUAUGUGUAAGUAACUGUGCACAUCUUGACGGCACCUAAUCAGAAAGCCACGGCUAACUACGUG